UGGGGAAUAUUGCACAAUGGGCGCAAGCCUGAUGCAGCCAUGCCGCGUGUAUGAAGAAGGCCUUCGGGUUGUAAAGUACUUUCAGCGAGGAGGAAGGCGUUGUGGUUAAUAACCGCAACGAUUGACGUUACUCGCAGAAGAAGCACCGGCUAACUCCGUGCCAGCAGCCGCGGUAAUACGGAGGGUGCAAGCGUUAAUCGGAAUUACUGGGCGUAAAGCGCACGCAGGCGGUCUGUCAAGUCGGAUGUGAAAUCCCCGGGCUCAACCUGGGGACUGCAUCCGAAACUGGCAGGCUAGAGUCUUGUAGAGGGGGGUAGAAUUCCAGGUGUAGCGGUGAAAUGCGUAGAGAUCUGGAGGAAUACCGGUGGCGAAGGCGGCCCCCUGGACAAAGACUGACGCUCAGGUGCGAAAGCGUGGGGAGCAAACA
rnacentral:rRNA from 1 species